AGAGUUUGAUCCUGGCUCAGGAUGAACGCUAGCUACAGGCUUAACACAUGCAAGUCGAGGGGAAACGAUAUUGGAAACUUGCUUCCGAUAGGCGUCGACCGGCGCACGGGUGAGUAACGCGUAUCCAACCUGCCCACCACUUGGGGAUAACCUUGCGAAAGUAAGACUAAUACCCAAUGAUAUCUCUAGAAGACAUCUGAAAGAGAUUAAAGAUUUAUCGGUGAUGGAUGGGGAUGCGUCUGAUUAGCUUGUUGGCGGGGUAACGGCCCACCAAGGCAACGAUCAGUAGGGGUUCUGAGAGGAAGGUCCCCCACAUUGGAACUGAGACACGGUCCAAACUCCUACGGGAGGCAGCAGUGAGGAAUAUUGGUCAAUGGACGAGAGUCUGAACCAGCCAAGUAGCGUGCAGGAAGACGGCCCUAUGGGUUGUAAACUGCUUUUAUAAGGGAAUAAAGUGAGAGUCGUGACUCUUUUUGCAUGUACCUUAUGAAUAAGGACCGGCUAAUUCCGUGCCAGCAGCCGCGGUAAUACGGAAGGUCCGGGCGUUAUCCGGAUUUAUUGGGUUUAAAGGGAGCGUAGGCCGGAGAUUAAGCGUGUUGUGAAAUGUAGACGCUCAACGUCUGCACUGCAGCGCGAACUGGUUUCCUUGAGUACGCACAAAGUGGGCGGAGUUCGUGGUGUAGCGGUGAAAUGCUUAGAUAUCACGAAGAACUCCGAUUGCGAAGGCAGCUCACUGGAGCGCAACUGACGCUGAAGCUCGAAAGUGCGGGUAUCGAACAGGAUUAGAUACCCUGGUAGUCCGCACGGUAAACGAUGGAUGCCCGCUGUUGGUCUGAAUAGGUCAGCGGCCAAGCGAAAGCAUUAAGCAUCCCACCUGGGGAGUACGCCGGCAACGGUGAAACUCAAAGGAAUUGACGGGGGCCCGCACAAGCGGAGGAACAUGUGGUUUAAUUCGACGCAACGCGAAGAACCUUACCAAGUCUUGACAUCCCUUGACGAUGCUGGAAACAGUAUUUCUCUUCGGAGCAAGGAGACAGGUGGUGCAUGGUUGUCGUCAGCUCGUGUCGUGAGAUGUUGGGUUAAGUCCCGCAACGAGCGCAACCCUUAUGGUCAGUUACUACGCAAGAGGACUCUGGCCAGACUGCCGUUGACAAAACGGAGGAAGGUGGGGAUGACGUCAAAUCAUCAUGCCCUUUAUGACUUGGGCUACACACGUACUACAAUGGCGUUAAACAAAGAGAAGCAAGACCGCAAGGUGGAGCAAAACUCAGAAACAACGUCCCAGUUCGGACUGCAGGCUGCAACUCGCCUGCACGAAGUCGGAAUUGCUAGUAAUCGUGGAUCAGCAUGCCACGGUGAAUACGUUCCCGGGCCUUGUACACACCGCCCGUCACACCAUGAGAGCCGGGGGGACCCGAAGUCGGUAGUCUAACCGCAAGGAGGACGCCGCCGAAGGUAAAACUGGUGAUUGGGGUGAAGUCGUAACAAGGUA
rnacentral:rRNA from 1 species